rnacentral:misc_RNA from 1 species
AAGUCGUAACAAGGUCUUCGUAGGUGAACCUGCGGAGGGAUCAUUACCGAGUUAGGGUCCUCAUCGGGCCCGACCUCCCAACCCAUUGUUUAUGAUACCUAGUGUUGCUUCGGUAGGCCUGGUCUCUACCUGCCGGGGGGCGGUAACACGCCCGCUGGAGAGUGCCUGCCGACAGCCUCAACCUCAAAAUCUUUAACUAAACGUGUCUUUGUCUGAGUAAAUGUCUUUUAAUAAAAGCAAAACUUUCAACAACGGAUCUCUUGGUUCUG